rnacentral:tRNA from 1 species
GCGUCUGUAGCCUAGUUGGUAAAGGCAGAACUCUAGUAUGUGUCUCAGCAUAGCUGAGGUCGUAAGUUUCGACUCUCACCAGACACA